CCAGGCCUCACACUCUGACUAAUGUAGUCGAAACCCAAAUCAGCUUCUGCAACGAUUCCCUCUCUCUGCGCCUCCCUCUCUGCCUCAAACGUACAACUUUUCCCUCCAUCCUUACCUCGUCGGUGCCAACAAUAUCCUAAACUCAAAACGUUUUGGCAAAAAACACAAACGUUCCGGCGCUGCAUCUCCUCUGCCUCUUCGGUCUUACAUUCAAGCUAAAGAAAUCUACAUCUCCACAAAUCAAUUUGGUUGGGGAAGAAGCCAAACCGUAUUGUGUUUCAUCAUAAAGAAGUAUAGUCAGAGGGAUUUUAACAUAACAUUGAUAAAAGCCUAAAUGGAAGGAUAUCCUCACAUCGCUGCUGGUGCCGCCAUGAGCAUGGAUUCUUCAAGUCAUCUGCCUCCCUCCCACUAUGCACAAGUCUAUAUUGCACAACAAGCAGAUCAGAGUAAUUGCAGAAAAGUACCAAGGCAAGUUUGUCAAGUUGUGGAGGGUUGUGAAUGUUGCUGACAAUUGAGGGACACUGGCAGAGAUGGUGUCGAUGGGUUGGUUUUGGCUAUAAAACCAUAUCAUGCGAUGGCAGGUUGUUGUAGUUCUUCCAUAUGCAACCAAAUGGCAUGCAGCUAUUUGCUUGACUGUGCAAAAGGCAUUAACUAAGGCUAUAAAGCUUGAUUUUUGCAGACUUAUUUCAACAAAAUCUAGAGCGAAGGACCUCUUUUAAUGUUCCUUGGCAAAUUGUUGUGCAGAUUGAAGACCACAAGUGCAUGGAAGUUGGAGAACGCUAGUGGUUAUGUAUGUUGUGCAUAAGAGAGUCAUGCUGGUGGUUAUGUUUGUUGUGCAUAUGAGAGUCACUGCCGAUGGGGUGCAUAAGAG